UUUAUUUAAUUAAAAAAUUUUGAUUUUUUGUUCUAAUUAAUUUUAGUAAAUAAAU
rnacentral:tRNA from 1 species